CAAUAAGCGGAGGAAAAGAAACCAACAGGGAUUGCCUCAGUAACGGCGAGUGAAGCGGCAUCAGCUCAAAUUUGAAAUCUGGCUCUUUUAGGGUCCGAAUUGUAAUUUGCAGAGGAAGCUUUGGUGCGGUCUUAGUCUAAGUUCCUUGGAACAGGACAUCACAGAGGGUGAGAAUCCCGUAUGUGGCUAAAGACCUUAACCAUGUAAAGCUCUUUCAACGAGUCGAGUUGUUUGGGAAUGCAGCUCUAAAUGGGAGGUAAAUUUCUUCUAAAGCUAAAUAUUGGCCAGAGACCGAUAGCGAACAAGUAGAGUGAUCGAAAGAUGAAAAGCACUUUGGAAAGAGAGUUAAAUAGUAUGUGAAAUUGUUGAAAGGGAAGCGCUUGCAAUCAGACUUGUUUGUAGGAGUUCAACUUGGCUUUUGUCUUGUGUAUUCUCCUAUUUGCAGGCCAGCAUCAGUUUGGGUGAUAGGAUAAAGAUCUUUGGAAUGUGGCCUUUUUUCUUCGGAAUUGAGGUGUUAAGCCUUUGAUGUCAUACUACCAACCUGGACUGAGG
rnacentral:rRNA from 1 species